AACGUAGGUGGCGAGCGUUAUCCGGAUUUACUGGGCGUAAAGCGUGUUCAGGCGGCUUCGCAAGUCGGGCCUGAAAUCUCUCGGCUCAACCGGGAGGGGCUGUCCGAUACUGCGGGGCUUGAGGGCAGUAGAGGGUGGUGGAAUUCCGGGUGUAGUGGUGAAAUGCGUAGAGAUCCGGAGGAACACCAGUGGCGAAGGCGGGUCUCUGGGCAACAACUGACGCUGAGGAGCGAAAGCGUGGGGAGCGAACAGG
rnacentral:rRNA from 1 species